rnacentral:rRNA from 1 species
UGCCAGCCGCCGCGGUAAUACGAAUGGGGCAAGCGUUGUUCGGAAUCACUGGGCUUAAAGCGUAUGUAGGCGGACUGUAAAGUCAGGAGUGAAAUCCCGGGGCUCAACCCCGGAACUGCUCUUGAAACUCAUAGUCUAGAAUCCUGGAGAGGUCGGGAGAAUUCCGAGUGUAGAGGUGAAAUUCGCAGAUAUUCGGAGGAAUACCAGUGGCGUAGGCGCCCGACUGGACAGGUAUUGACGCUCAGAUACGAAAGCGUGGGGAGCAAACAGGAUUAGAUA